rnacentral:rRNA from 1 species
AUUGAACGCUGGCGGCAGGCCUAACACAUGCAAGUCGAACGGUAACAGGAAGAAGCUUGCUUCUUUGCUGACGAGUGGCGGACGGGUGAGUAAUGUCUGGGAAACUGCCUGAUGGAGGGGGAUAACUACUGGAAACGGUAGCUAAUACCGCAUAAUGUCGCAAGACCAAAGAGGGGGACCUUCGGGCCUCUUGCCAUCGGAUGUGCCCAGAUGGGAUUAGCUAGUAGGUGGGGUAACGGCUCACCUAGGCGACGAUCCCUAGCUGGUCUGGGAGGAUGACCAGCCACACUGGAACUGAGACACGGUCCAGACUCCUACGGGAGGCAGCAGUGGGGAAUAUUGCACAAUGGGCGCAAGCCUGAUGCAGCUAUGCCGCGUGUAUGAAGAAGGCCUUCGGGUUGUAAAGUACUUUCAGCGGGGAGGAAGGGAGUAAAGUUAAUACCUUUGCUCAUUGACGUUACCCGCAGAAGAAGCACCGGCUAACUCCGUG